UAGGGAAUCUUCGGCAAUGGUCGAAAGUCUGACCGAGCAACGCCGCGUGAGUGAAGAAGGUUUUCGGAUCGUAAAACUCUGUUGUUAGAGAAGAACAAGGACGUUAGUAACUGAACGUCCCCUGACGGUAUCUAACCAGAAAGCCACGGCUAACUACGUGCCAGCAGCCGCGGUAAUACGUAGGUGGCAAGCGUUGUCCGGAUUUAUUGGGCGUAAAGCGAGCGCAGGCGGUUUCUUAAGUCUGAUGUGAAAGCCCCCGGCUCAACCGGGGAGGGUCAUUGGAAACUGGGAGACUUGAGUGCAGAAGAGGAGAGUGGAAUUCCAUGUGUAGCGGUGAAAUGCGUAGAUAUAUGGAGGAACACCAGUGGCGAAGGCGGCUCUCUGGUCUGUAACUGACGCUGAGGCUCGAAAGCGUGGGGAGCAAACAGG
rnacentral:rRNA from 1 species